UCCUGGCUUAGGAUGAACGCUAGCGGCAGGCUUAACACAUGCAAGUCGAGGGGCAGCGGGAUGUAGCAAUACAUUGCCGGCGACCGGCGGAUGGGUGCGUAACGCGUAUGCAACCUACCUAUACAGGGGAAUAACCUUCGAAAGGGAGACUAACACCCCAUAGUAUUGAUUAAGGCAUCUUAGAUUAAUUAAAUAUUUAUAGGUAUAAGAUGGGCAUGCGUAUGAUUAGCUAGUUGGUAAGGUAACGGCUUACCAAGGCGACGAUCAUUAGGGGUUCUGAGAGGAAGGUCCCCCCACACUGGUACUGAGACACGGACCAGACUCCUACGGGAGGCAGCAGUGAGGAAUAUUGGUCAAUGGGCGCAAGCCUGAACCAGCCAUGCCGCGUGCAGGAAAGACGGCCUUAUGGGUUGUAAACUGCUUUUACAUAAGACUAACCGUAUAUUUGCGAAUAUACCUGAAUGUAUUAUGAGAAUAAGGAUCGGCUAACUCCGUGCCAGCCGCUGC
rnacentral:rRNA from 1 species